CCAGAGAUGGCGGGCCACCGUGCCCCCGUCCCCAACCCAUUGUUGACCCAAAACCCUUUUGCCUCGGGGGCAGAGCGUCCGCCGCCGCCGCCGCCGCCGCCCCCGGAGGACCACCGAACGCUGUCUCUUUGCGUCAGAGUAAUUGAUUAAAUGAAUGA
rnacentral:misc_RNA from 1 species